rnacentral:rRNA from 1 species
GACGAACGCUGGCGGCGUGCCUAAUACAUGCAAGUAGAACGAGUUGCGAACGGGUGAGUAACGCGUGGUAACCUGCCUGGUAGCGGGGGAUAACUACUGGAAACGGUAGCUAAUACCGCAUACCAUCAGAUGUGCCCAGAUGGGAUUAGCUAGUAGGUGGGGUAACGGCUCACCUAGGCGACGAUCCCUAGCUGGUCUGAGAGGAUGACCAGCCACACUGGAACUGAGACACGGUCCAGACUCCUACGGGAGGCAGCAGUGGGGAAUAUUGCACAAUGGGCGCAAGCCUGAUGCAGCCAUGCCGCGUGUGUGAAGAAGGCCUUCGGGUUGUAAAGCACUUUCAGCGGGGAGGCGUUAAUCACAGAAGAAGCACCGGCUAACUCCGUGCCAGCAGCCGCGGUAAUUC